GUGUGUUAAAGAAUGCCUACUGAAAAGGGAUGGAUUAAAGGUUUUACUUCAGAUGGAGGAUAGGUAGAAAUAUCUCAAUCAUUGUAUGCCGAUGACACCAUGUUGUUAUGUGAAGCAGACAAGGAGCAAAUACUACAUUUGAGAGUUGUUACUGGCCUGACAGUAAAUCUGUCCAAAAGUUUCAUCCUCUCUGUUAAUGCUGAAAUUCACAUUGG
rnacentral:lncRNA from 1 species